GGUGGGGACUGAAGUAAACCCGGCCGGAAAAAAGUAACAGGAGCAAAAAGCAAGUACGUAGAGAAAGCAGCGAGGUCUAUUCCUUCGAAAGCAAGCAUAAGUAGACGAAGAGGACAGCCUACGGGCUAGGAGGGAGAAGUAAACGAAGAAGGAGCCCCGAGGAUUAGGCCGUCCUGUGACGGCGGGGAGCAUUCGUCAGUUGUCAAGAGAGAGGGGGACUAAACAGGCGGAGUAGCGAUUAGACUAGACCGACUGCAGCAGCGUUACCUACAAAUAAACGUCCACAAAUCACAGAGGUAGCAGCCACAGCCGAAACAGACCCAAGGUAGUUCGAGCCGCCGCAGAUCCCGAGGGCAGUUCCGGACGCAGAAAAUCCCAAGGAAGUUCGAGGCGCAGUAGAUCCCAAGCAGUUCAAGUAGUAGAACUUACAUUACCGGGGUUAAGACGCGCUAAACAAGGAAAGACAGACACACAAUGAUGUUCUAGCUCCGAUAAAUAACGCAAUCACAGACAAGAACACAAACGAUCCCAAACUACUUGUACCAGAACAUGUCCCGUCAAGACUAAACCACUUAGACUCAGAUCUGAUCCCCCAACAGAAGUCUCUAAUCUAAAGUCCCAUACUACGCCGUACUACUAUACCACAACACACAAGCACACGAAACGAAAGACUAAGAACAAAGAUAAAAACAACUACUACUAUACCCCCAACACAUAGAGUUACCUCUUCAAGAAUAGCGAACAAAAUGUACAAGAAAAAUCAAAAACAUUACACAUCGUCGUAAUACCUGAUCAAGUCAACCGAACAAUCCUACAUAAAAGGAAUCUUCGUUCGUGGACAGUUGUAUAAAUUGGUUGAUUUUAAUGAAUUAAAAAGCAUACAACCAAACUAGUCAUGAUCAAGAGACACAGACAACACCGACCCACAGCAGUCACCUAGAAGAAGACAAAUCAACAAUUAAUUCUUUUUAUUUCAGCAAACGACCUGAUCUGUGAUCCCCUGUCUUCUAUCGUUAGUUGUACGUUUUGGUCACGCUACGUUUAAACACUUGUCUUGAACUACUUGGACUCAAAUUCCAAAGUCGCGGUGGGGUGGUUCACCCACGUGUUUAUCAAAUAACCAAAAACACAAGAGACUCAAAUAACAAAGUCGCGGUGGGGUGGUUCACUUGAUAAAAAGAAACAAAUAGACCCUCAACACACGCUACAGAUCAUGACCUCGAAGAUAAACAAGUUCACCUGCGUAGAUAGUAGUCAACCGUCAAUAGAAGAUACAUUUACUUAAUAUUCACUUCGGGCUAGAAACGAAUCUGUUCACACUAUUCAACCAACGUAUUAAAUGACAUCGUAGAUGGUUUAUUGAUAUAUCUAAAUCCAUUAAACAAGGAUGACGACGAAUGAUAUUAUCGAUCAAAAGAACACAGAAAAAAGCAAAAUGGCGCUCACUACGAUAUUCCCUUACUGAUCCCUUUCAUAUUUUACUAAGUUUUUUGAGGUAGAGGUCGGUAACAACUUAAUUACAGACAUCGAAUCUUAAUUUACCAAGUUUUUUGUAAUCGGUAAUAAAACCAGACCUUUAGUCGGUUGUUCUUAUUAUCAUGAAGACUUUAACAGAUGUAACAGAGAGUAAAAAAAAGACCACGAAUAAGAACACACCUACACAACAUAUUUUCACUUAUUCGUAAAAAAAUACCUGAUCACAAUCCAGACCACUAAAAACAACAUCCAAUGUUGAUUGUUAAUGAAUCUACAAAAAAGUAGUACAAGUAUACACACGUAACUACAAUAAAACGUUGUUGAAAUCGUGAUCAUGAACAUGGAACUAUGAAAUAAUGUACUACCUACUGGAAACACAAAGAUGAGAAAAGUGUAUACAUACCAAGACCACGAUCAAAACAAAAAAAUCUGCUCACAAGCAAUAACUUUACCAUAAUCCACUACACUGACAUCAAAAACUAUAUCCUGCAAUUGGGUCAUCACGUCCUACUUUCAACGUUCUACACCAUGAAUAAUCAAACUAUGAAAGAACAAUAAGUAAACGAACAAAAAAAUUACAUAAUGUACAAAAAAUUGACAGUAUGAAAGAAACAACACUGAAUAUGUGCAUGGUUACUAUGAUUCAUGACGAAAACAAAGGAACUUAAUUAGAAACAAAGUUGUCGAAUGAAAAAAUAAUAACAUGCCAACAGGGAGUUGACAGUUUUACGGAUCUGAAAUGUUUAUAGGAAUCCCAUGAUAGUUCGUGUCUAAAAGCUGGCAAUCCACCGUAUUCCGUCAAACACUAAAUUGACUGUUUGUCUUCAGCAUACAAAGGUUUAUACUCGAGCUAUUAGAGGACUUAUAAGUAGGAGUAAACUACUAAGCUUAAGGUUAAGACGUUAACGUUUGGUGUAUUUGAUAUUACCUGGACCUCAAAAGUCUUUCCCAGUUUUCUAGUAAGCAGAAUCUUCCCUCUACCAUUAAGUCCAAAAACCAUAGGCAAGACCAAGACACGGAAAAGGAGACCUGUUGUGUCUACAUCAACAACACCGAUCUCAUAAUGUUGAAUCCAAAGUCAUAGAACUAUUACCAGUCUUCAUGUAAGGUCAGCUAUUAUAAUAGUGAUACUACUUCUUACUGCUCUGGCGCCUUCCAAAGUACACCUCGAAGUACAAAGAUAAAAGACAGGUUGGAGAGCCUUAAUACGUUUAACCUUUUAAGAAAUACCGAGGUACUGUAAUGAUUCGACUUCUGGAAACUAAACCUAGUCGAAACGUAACUAGUGAACUUGUUCCUUUAACUAUUAAAGUCGUGGUUAGAGAAGUUGUUUUGACUUUAAGGCAACUUGUAAAGUUAGAUACAACCACCUACGAAUAGAAAUCGGCGAUAACAAAUAGACCUGAAUCAUCUGAAGUGUUUUCACUCGUUGCUUUGUAGUUAAUACGUCAGGUAUCUUAUCAGGUACAAGUCUUACUUCUGAAACUGAUAGAUAGAUAUCACCUGAACUUGUGUAGUAGUUUCUUCGGCAAACAUAACCCUAAGAAUGGUGACUCUCUGUAGAGGAGCUGUGGAAUGUCACGAGCACGUUAGCAUAACCGACUCCUUUUCACCGACUUACGGGGUGUUUGAAUGGUAUUACUCCUUUUACAGUAAGGUUUGAUGUCACUGUAGAGUUUACAACGUAGAUGAAGCUUGGUAUUAGGUCUUCGAUACUUGUAUUAUAGAGUUCAACAACGUUUCGUACUAGUUUAAACCUUCUUCGAAGUACUUGUUGUACACAUCUCAUACAAACGUAUAUACGUUCGUUGAGACAACAGAAAUGUUGGUUUAAGUUUGUACGUUCAGUUGUAACGACCGUGAAGUUGGUAUUUAGGGUAAUAAGAAGAAAGUCGUCGUUUGUUGUCCUUAUUAGAGUCACUUGGUCGUCAUUUGUGGUUGUUAGCGGGUCAACUCCAUUUGUUACUCGGUUAAUCUACAAGAAAUAAGGUUCUAGUACAUCCUCAGUCAGGAUGAGGACUACAAUGGAAUUCGGUGUGGUCGUUCCUGUAGGUUCAAGUUUAAGGUUGAGCUCAAGAUCUCGUUCACAGUCAAGGAGUCGUUCAUGUCCUUUGACUGGCUCGUGGAUGUUGACACUUGUAACCCAAAAAACACCAUAAUUACUUCGCUUAAGUCAACCCUUGUUACCAUGGUAGAGACUCGGUUAAGUCUGAGGUAUUAACCGUAAGGACCUUGGUGACACAGGACAAAUAGGAUAUCAUCUAUCACUCCGUUUAGUCUAUCUAAAAGUCGUACAGUUGUAACACGGACUUUAGGGAGAAAGACCCUUGAGUCAAAUACAGUCACUCGUUCAAGUCCAUCACUUACUCGAUCUCAGUUCACAACAAUUACACGAGUUAGUCUGGGGUUCAUUUCUUUACAGACCACGAACAGGGUUAGGAGGAAAGGAUCAAGUCUCGUUACGAUCAGGAGUGUUAGAUGGUAGAGGAAGUUCAUUGUUAGACCCGGAGGUUGCUAGACGUACUUUGGAAGGUGGAGGGGCACAGUGGCGAGCGUAACCUUCUUUAUGCACUGUAUGUCGAUUGGAACUGGUUCUAGACGGGAAGGUGUAGCUUAUGAUUAUAAACCGUGAUGUAUACCCCGUGCCGGUGAAAGUCUGGAUUCCUGAUGAUAAGUAUAAAGAAAUCUCUACGGGCUUGGCUGGGGUACAAGUUUGUGGACACCUUUAGUUUUACAUGUUACUUCAACUUCCACAAACCAACCGACGAAAAAGUGCUGUCUGAGUUGUGUGCAUUAUACAACUUCGCCUCCGUGAAAUUGUAGCCUAUACUAAAACUGACAGAGGAAACGCCCGAAGGUUAGCUUCUUUGUCACCUGGUAUACUAGAAGUGAACACUAAAAUCGUCCUGUACGACCUGGUUUGAACCAUAAGUUACCUGGGGGAAACCAUUGGCAGAGUGACGAGAGUUCAACUUGUCUCUGAGGACCGCACUGGGUAAAAAGUACCUUUAAAAAGAGUGACGGUCUACCUCGGAUACCUUCCUUCCUUGUUGUUUGUGAAGGUACCUCAACUGGGAUGACAACCCAGGACCAAAAGUACGAAGUUUUUACUGGAUCCAGUUGAGGUCGUAUCUCAGUUUCUCCGGGUAUCUCCGAACAAACAGUUAGAAACAAGACGAGAUCCAACUAUCAAAGAUAGAGAAAAAGAAUGGACUGAGGAGGGCACCUCUCGACCAUUAAGUGGGGAGGGACCAAACACCCCUCCCCCUCAUCUACCCAUUGGCUCAAUCCGUGGGAUAUACAGAUACAUUUGUGGGGUAAAUAUAUCUAUAUAUUUUAGUGUCACCCUCAGGAGAGGGUGACAGUUAAGGGAUUUUUUGUUAGAUUAACUUCUACCAACAUAAGGUUUCCUUAACUUAAGUGUUUUUUGACUUUUGUACCCACUACCGUAACUUUAGCGGUACCUCAUACGACUACUAUAAAACUACGGUGUUGAACUGUUGAGUCAAGGGUUUCACCUGAUACUAUUAAAGAUGUUAAGAGACUUCCGUUAUCCUUUCCAACUAUUACUUUAUAAGUUACGGAUACAGGUUCAAAAGUUAAUGCUAUUACUUUCAGGUCGAGGUUUUUGAUUUCUUGGAAGUUUCAUAACGAAAUGAAGGAUGAAGUUCCUCUUUGACGAAGAUCUAGGGGCUUUGAAGUUAAGAUCCAGAACGGAUUCUCUUAAGUUCUUUGAUAUGAGCCCCUUCUCGAAUGUAUUCGCACUAGAUCAUGUGUAAAAAAAUAGUAAGGUACUUUGGUAGUAAAAACGUAGAAAAAGUAGAUAUGAGUAAAAAGAUGAAAUUAACGGUAGGUUGAAAUGAAGGGGGCUCAACUAAGGAAGGCAACCUGAAACAAGACGCAGUCGUUAGAGAAACUUUGUCAAUUAAAGAAGUUAAGUUCCUCAAUACAAGGAGUUUUAGUUCAGUUGUUCAAUUGUAGUUUAGACCGUUAGUUGUACCCGUGGGAAAACUUCAGAAGACCUAGGUAUAUGUUCUUACAGCUCUUUAAACUCACGUAAAGCGGACUCUUGAUGGGGUCGUUUUGUUGGAGGUGUUAACACGUGAGAUACGAUAAUACAUGUACCUAUAGACCCUACCGUUCUUGUACUUCUUGUAACUGCUACUUUAAUAAGGAGUUAAGACCGUCCAACAGUGAAUGUUUGAGCGUUUCAGACUGUAGUUACUUCUUAGGAAGAUCCUUCAAGUUCUUCUACAAAGUUGGUUCUUCUCCUUCUACACAGCAAUGAAUACAAAUGUUUCGUUUACGAAUUUCGAUGAUUUCACGUAGCAAAAGUGGGUAGCUACACACGGAAAUUAUUACAAGUAACGUUUGAACUUCGAUGAACAAAAUAUAUGAACUUCGAUGACACGUGGUCUUCAUGAAUAUUCAGUGGAUAGCUUACAAACUUUUUUUGAAACUUCAUACGAAAAGAGAACACACCUUUUGUCAAAGGGUGGCCAAACAUGGAUUUGAUCAAUGCAAUGUUCAGUAAGAACCGUUAGCAAAGUCGUAAUGAUAUAAAAAAUGUACAAAAAACUUGACGA
rnacentral:rRNA from 1 species